UGUUUGUUCUUCUUAAAAGAAGCAUUCCCUAAAUGUACGUGCACAAUGAAACACUAAUUUUCGAAAUGCCCACAAUUGUCUCAGGACCCUUUUUCAGAUAGGUCUGGAAGGUAAAAAAAGAGACAUUCUAAAAUGGCAGUUUUUACAGCAACAAAAGACCAGUGUUGUCUGAGAAACUUGGGAAUGCCCAGACAAUGAAGGCUGUAGUUGAGCUACUUAGAUUUAUAAUGUCAUCUGUUAGCAAGUCAGACCUGAAACAUCAGGGAGGAAUGUGCUACGUGGAGUUGGGCUGAGGAAAACUUCUAAUAUUGUUCAAGGAGGAAACCACAGCUAACCAUCAAAUCCCACACACUGCUAACUUCCUUCUUUCCUUCUCCCAGCCCAUUCGUUCAUCACCAAAUAAGGAAUUUUAUCUAAUACAGUAAUAACUUUCAAAGUAUGCAUUAACUGCUUCUUUCUUAGCAAUUGCAGCGUAGGUUUUUAAUUUUGAUUCCUAGACACAUUUAUGCGGUAAAGAAUUCAGACCAUUAAAGUUUGUCUUUGGUUGUCGCAUCAUGUUGUUAUGUCAGUAUUUUAACUUAAGGCCUUUUACUUAAGUCAUAAUUUGAAUUUCACAAUAUAAAUCAAUAUAAAAAUUAUGUGUUUAAUUUGAGUUGCCGCAUCAGAUGCCCUGCAUAGCCAGAACAUUUUUUCAGGGUUGGCCAGGUAAGACCCAGCAAUUAUUUUGGGGUGGCCAAAAAAUCUUACUUUGUACUCUACUACAUUUUUAAAAAUCGCUCGUUCGUUUUUAUUUAUCAGUGGAUAAAAAACGUAACUGGGCAAACUUAAGAUGCACACGUGACGCGUCAAACCACCAAUCAGGCUACAGCACGCGCUUCAUUUUGAACUUGUUUUGGUUGCCCCAGUAAUGUUAUACUUUAGCGUGAAUACACGGUUCAUGUAAGAGACACGAUACAGCAGCUAGCGUAUUGUUUGGAGAGUGAAACUGCAUUUAUAAACAACAGAGAAAAUAACUGACUCACCACAACAACCAUGGCCUUAUUUAUGUAAGUUUUUUAAGUUGUUGAAAAGAAGAACGAGUCCUUGUGUCUUCUCUGCCUGCCUCGAGACUGUGCUAUUUCAUUUUACAAGAAUUCUCCUUCAAAUCUAAGGAAACACGUAGAGAGAAAGCAUGGUAGCCACAUUAAAAGGUAUGUUGCCAUAACAGCAUCAAGGAAAAGAAAACUGGAAAGUGAGGAUGCUCCUUCAACCUCCAGAUAGUAAAAGAAUACUCCUGUGAACCUGUGCUUAGUUCAAGUUUUUAUUACCCUUAAACUGUUAAACUAUGUAACAAAUAAAUCUUGAAAUGAGA